rnacentral:rRNA from 1 species
AUGGCGGAAGAUGCUGGUAGUCGGAUUGAGGUGGCCAACCUCCUUUCCCUCGGCGAGGACCUCGUCGGGGUGCUCGUGGGCAUCAAGGACGGCGAAGCCCUUGCGCAGGCCUGCGACGGGGCACGGAUGCUGCGCUCCGCCUGCAGAUCCGAGUCCGGGGACCUCGAGCUCCAAAUCAAAGAGUAUCAGGAAAAAAUAAACUCCUUCAAGGAAAAGUUAGACAAGGCAAAAGCUGAAACAGUUACUGAUGAAGAACUGAACACGCUACAAAAUGAGAUGGAGGAGAAACUCCGGGGGGAGCAACAGCUUCGCCAAGACUUAAGAGCGGUGAGUGAUGAGCUUGAUAACCUAGACCGUCAAAGGACUUCUAUAGAAGAAAGGAAGGAUUCUGUCAAGAAGAAGGAGAAAGACAUGCUGAAGGCACAAAGUAUGCUCUCCAUGUGUGUGUCAGUUACAAAUAUGAUGCCAGAUUUCGAAGAUCAGGAGAAGAUUUCUGGAUAUAUUGUUGACAAGAACAGGAAGAAGCUAGAUAAGUUCGAAUUUGGGAAGACAAUGUCACCAGUUGAGAUCUGCGACAAGCUUUGGAAAAUGAUUUAG